rnacentral:rRNA from 1 species
CCUCCAGACUCCUACGGGAGGCAGCAGUGAGGAAUAUUGGUCAAUGGUCGGGAGACUGAACCAGCCAAGCCGCGUGAGGGAUGAAGGUACAGAGUAUCGUAAACCUCUUUUGUCGGAGAACAAAACCCGGGACGUGUCCCGGACUGCGUGUAUCCGAAGAAAAAGCAUCGGCUAACUCCGUGCCAGCAGCCGCGGUAAUACGGAGGAUGCGAGCGUUAUCCGGAUUUAUUGGGUUUAAAGGGUGCGUAGGCGGUCCGUUAAGUCAGGGGUAAAAUUGCGGGGCUCAACCCCGUCGAGCCGUUGAAACUGGCAGACUUGAGUUGGCGAGAAGUACGCGGAAUGCGCGGUGUAGCGGUGAAAUGCAUAGAUAUCGCGCAGAACUCCGAUUGCGAAGGCAGCGUACCGGCGCCAGACUGACGCUGAGGCACGAAAGCGUGGGGAUCGAACAGGAUUAGAUACCCGUA